AACGAACGCUGGCGGCAUGCCUAACACAUGCAAGUCGAACGGGAUCCUAGCUUGCUAGGUGAGAGUGGCGGACGGGUGAGUAACACGUGGGAAUCUGCCUUUGGUUCGGGAUAACCGCGGGAAACUGCGGCUAAUACCGAAUGCCCUCGUGAGAGGAAAGAUUUAUCGCCAGAAGAGGAGCCCGCGUCCGAUUAGGUAGUUGGUGGGGUAAAGGCCUACCAAGCCGACGAUCGGUAGCUGGUCUGAGAGGAUGAUCAGCCACACUGGGACUGAGAUACGGCCCAGACUCCUACGGGAGGCAGCAGUGGGGAAUAUUGGACAAUGGAGGCAACCCUGAUCCAGCAAUGCCGCGUGAGUGAUGAAGGCCUUAGGGUUGUAAAGCUCUUUUGCCAGGGAAGAUGAUGACUGUACCUGGAGAAUAAGCCCCGGCUAACUCGUGCCAGCAGCCGCGGUAAU
rnacentral:rRNA from 1 species